rnacentral:rRNA from 1 species
CAUGAAGUCGGAAUUGCUAGUAAUCGCGGAUCAGCAUGCCGCGGUGAAUACGUUCCCGGGCCUUGUACACACCGCCCGUCACACCAUGGGAGUUGGGAGCGCCCGAAGCCGGUGAGGUAACCGAGAGGAGCCAGCCGUCGAAGGUGAGACCAAUGACUGGGGUGAAGUCGUAACAAGGUACC